AUUAGAGUGGCGCAGCGGAAGUGUGGUGGGUUUAUAACCCACAGGUCCCAGGAUUGAAACCUAACUCUAUUU
rnacentral:tRNA from 1 species